GGAGAGAUGGCCGAGAGGCCGAAGGCGCGUGCCUGCUAAGCACGUGAGGGUUUAUACCCUCCGAGGGUUCGAAUCCCUCUCUCUCCG
rnacentral:tRNA from 1 species